GUGAGGAAUUUUCCGCAAUGGGCGAAAGCCUGACGGAGCAAUGCCGCGUGAAGGAUGAAGGCCUAUGGGUUGUAAACUUCUUUUCUCAGAAAAGAAUUAUGACGGUAUCUGAGGAAUAAGCAUCGGCUAACUCUGUGCCAGCAGCCGCGGUAAGACAGAGGAUGCAAGCGUUAUCCGGAAUGAUUGGGCGUAAAGCGUCUGUAGGUUGUUUAAAAAGUAUUCUGUCAAAGAUUAGGGCUGAACCCUAGAUAGGCAGAAUAAACUUUUAAGCUAGAGUUUGGUAGAGGCAGAGGGAAUUCCCGGUGGAGCGGUGAAAUGCGUAGAUAUCGGGAGGAACACCAAAGGCGAAGGCACUCUGCUGGGCCAAUACUAACACUGAGAGACGAAAGCGAGGGGAGCAAAUGGGAUUAGAUACCCGUGUAGUCC
rnacentral:rRNA from 1 species